UACGGAGGGUGCAAGCGUUAUCCGGAUUUACUGGGUUUAAAGGGUGCGUAGGUGGAUAAGUAAGUCAGUGGUGAAAUCUCCGGGCUUAACCCGGAAACUGCCAUUGAUACUAUUUGUCUUGAAUACUUUGGAGGUAAGCGGAAUAUGUCAUGUAGCGGUGAAAUGCUUAGAUAUGACAUAGAACACCAGUUGCGAAGGCGGCUAACUAGACAGUGAUUGACGCUGAGGCACGAAAGCGUGGGGAUCAACCAGG
rnacentral:rRNA from 1 species